rnacentral:rRNA from 1 species
AUGGAGGCGGCGGCCGGAAGGGGCCUGGACCUGGCCGGCUCGCUCCGGGACCUCCUCCCGCCGGUGGACUUCUGCUGCGCGUACGGCUCCACCCUCACCCACGCCCGCCCCGACGGCACCUCCAUGGUCGACUACAUCCUCGGCGUCGCCGACCCCCUCCAGUGGCACUCCGAGAACUUGGCGAGGAACCCCACACAUUACUCUAGCUGGAUGGCGCGCCGUGGCCCCGAAGCCGUCACUUGGCUCGCAGAUCGUGUCGGUGUCGGGGUCUACUUUAAUCCCUUUGUCGAGUGGGGAGACAAGAGGAUCAAGUAUGGGGUGGUAGCGAUGAAGGACCUGACGGCGGAUAUCUUGACCUGGGACCAGUUCUACCUAAGUGGCCGACUGCAAAAACCUGUCCAUGUUCUUGUCGAUAACUGGGAUAUAAGGAAGGUUAACACAGUUAAUCUGAAAAUGGCAGCUGCAGCUUCUCUGCUUCUUUUGCCAAAAGAAUUCACAGAGCAUGACCUAUACGCAAAAAUUUGCGGCCUAUCUUAUAUGGGUGACAUAAGGAUGUUAUUUGCCGAAGACAAAUAUAAGGUCAAGAAGAUUGUGGACGGUAGUUUCCAGCCAUUUCAAUUGAUGUACAGACCCCUGAUACAGGAGUAUAUUUCUGAAGGGAUACUGAAGAUGUCAGAUUACAGACAACAAAAGGCUUUCAAGCAGGACUGUGGUGUAUCUGCAACGAAUGAACUGUUCUCUUCUCUCCCGCGUAUGAUCCAAAGGAGACUGCAGGGAAGAUUCACAUCAAAUAGCACAGAAAUACUGACUCACAUACCGACCCGCACGUUGGUUCCAUCGAAAGAGGUGGCAGCGGCAUCCGUCCGCACGGCUCUGAGGCGCCGCGUAAUGGUUUCGAGCGCACGGCAAGCAGCUUGUGGGCUGCUCGCCUCUGGCGGCCUGGUCGCCGCGCGGUACCUGGGGAAGAAAAUGUCCAAGGCCUUGAGCACCCGAUGUUUGACUUUUUUUUAG